ensembl:snoRNA
CUGCAUGUUGGAACUUUUAAAACAAAUCAUACUUUUCACUGCAGCAGCAGUAUGAAUAUAGCCAGUGCAUGCUACAAAAAACACAGGAGUCUCCAGGGCUGCUAAUCUUGCAGUAAAGGUUGAGUAGUAGUAUACUUCUCCUACAUCA